rnacentral:tRNA from 1 species
AUUGAAGUAGUUUAUUAAAAAAUAAGAAAUUGUGGGUUUCUAGAAUCUUGAGCAGACUUUGGUC